UUGCUUCUGCAGCAGACACACUAAAAUCAGAACAGCAGAGAUAAGAUGAGCAUGCCCCUGUGCAAAGAUGGCAUGCAAAGUCAGGAAAAUGCAGGGUUGGGGUUUUUU
ensembl:snRNA LOC120097664 U6 spliceosomal RNA